ensembl:ncRNA K11C4.9 ncRNA
GUUGUUUAGUUUCUGUGCCGUUUAUUGCGUACUCUUUGCCGCGCGAACGCACGUAGAUUUUGAGUGAAGGGGGAAGAGGUACUCACUUACGCCAGCGCAUAAAAUAUUGAUUGCUCCAUUUUCUCAUCAAUUUCAAAUU